UUAUCCCUAAUUCCUCAAGAUGAACAUAUUUUCUUCCUUGCAGAUGUUCACCAACCAAAGUGUGUGUUUUUUUUAUAUGAAGAAAAACUCCCGGGCUUCCAAAUAUCACUGAUCCGAUCCCCGUGAUGUUCGGCAACCCUUGAUCCUGAACCUCCAAACUAAGCUCAAACAUGGCCGUGCUUCCUGCUCUCUGAUGCUCUUUUACGUCCAAUGGCUGCUGGAGUUUCCCGAGGAUUCUCCGCUCGUCUUACAGGAAACACGAGACAAAUUUGCCCACAGGAACAGUCUGACUGUGUUUCUCACACAUUCACACCGUCUCUCUCAGAGGAACACAGACAAAGUGCCUGUCAGUCUCAGAGCAGGGAGCGAUAAUUGAAGUGCCAAGAUGCA